ACGGGUGAGUAACGCGUGGGUAACCUGCCUCAUACAGGGGGAUAACAGUUGGAAACGACUGCUAAAACCGCAUAACAUUGCGACGUCGCAUGACGAUGCAAUUAAAUAUUUAUAGGUAUGAGAUGGGCCCGCGUCUGAUUAGCUAGUUGGUGAGGUAAUGGCUCACCAAGGCGACGAUCAGUAGCCGGCUUGAGAGAGUGACCGGCCACAUUGGGACUGAGACACGGCCCAAACUCCUACGGGAGGCAGCAGUGGGGAAUAUUGCACAAUGGGGGAAACCCUGAUGCAGCGACGCCGCGUGAGUGAAGAAGUAUUUCGGUAUGUAAAGCUCUAUCAGCAGGGAAGAAAAUGACGGUACCUGACUAAGAAGCCCCGGCUAACUACGUGCCAGCAGCCGCGGUAAUACGUAGGGGGCAAGCGUUAUCCGGAUUUACUGGGUGUAAAGGGAGCGUAGGUGGUUCGGCAAGUCAGAUGUGAAAGCCCGGGGCUCAACCCCGGGACUGCAUUUGAAACUGCCGUACUAGAGUGCAGGAGAGGUAAGUGGAAUUCCUAGU
rnacentral:rRNA from 1 species